CAUGUUUACUAUCAACGUGAAUCUCGACUAUAGAGCGAAGCGAAAGGUUGCCAACUUCGUUUCAAGAAAUUGGGGCAAUGGUCGGGAAAAAAUGUUUUAAAAUCUAAUAAAAUGUCACUUACCGGUCUAAUCAACGAGUACUUGCUGUUCCCAUAUAAUUAUCCUUAUCGAAUAUCAAUAUCCAGACAUAAUAUAUAACUGUUUAAACACUUUUAAUUAAUUUUUUCGCUGGCGGUGUUGCGGUUUUUUUGUCCAUUCAACUUCGAUCAACGGAAGUUACAAAACAACGACAUCUGUGUGGUCUUCAGCUCAAGAAAGAUAACUCCACCUGAAAACGCGGGAAAUUAGAUGAGUUCCGAGAAACAAUAUACUGAACGAAAAGGUAAGAGAAUUUCGAAUUUCGCACAUGUAAACAAUCUAUAGUUAUACAGAAA
rnacentral:lncRNA from 1 species